UAUUUUCUAUUUUUUAUGCCUUUUCUCAAUUUAAUACCUUUGCGUGUAUAUUGAGAAGUAAUAAUGCUAAGGAAUAUCUUUUUGGUAAUUUCCAAACUUAUGUGUCACAAAAUGGCAUUCUUCAUCAGAUAUCUUGUAUUGAUACUCUCCAUCCCAAAACGGGAUUGCUGAAAGGAAAAAUAGACAUUUUCUUGAGGUAACACGGGCACUCCUUUUUCAAAUGA
rnacentral:misc_RNA from 1 species